rnacentral:rRNA from 1 species
GAUGAACGCUGGCGGCGUGCCUAAUACAUGCAAGUCGAGCGAACAGACGAGGAGCUUGCUCCUUUGACGUUAGCGGCGGACGGGUGAGUAACACGUGGGUAACCUACCUAUAAGACUGGGUUAACUUCGGGAAACCGGAGCUAAUACCGGAUAAUAUUUCGAACCGCAUGGUUCGAUAGUGAAAGAUGGCUUUGCUAUCACUUAUAGAUGGACCUGCGCCGUAUUAGCUAGUUGGUAAGGUAACGGCUUACCAAGGCAACGAUACGUAGCCGACCUGAGAGGGUGAUCGGCCACACUGGAACUGAGACACGGUCCAGACUCCUACGGGAGGCAGCAGUAGGGAAUCUUCCGCAAUGGGCGAAAGCCUGACGGAGCAACGCCGCGUGAGUGAUGAAGGUCUUCGGAUCGUAAAACUCUGUUAUUAGGGAAGAACAAACGUGUAAGUAACUGUGCACGUCUUGACGGUACCUAAUCAGAAAGCCACGGCUAACUACGUG